GAAACAUAGAAGCAUAGAAGCAUAGAAACAUAGAAACAUAGAAGCAUAGAAGCAUAGAAGCAUAGAAGCAUAGAAACAUAGAAGCAUAGAAGCAUAGAAGCAUAGAAGCAUAGAAACAUAGAAGCAUAGAAACAUAGAAGCAUAGAAUCAUAGAAUCAUAGAAGCAUAGAAACAUAGAAUCAUAGAAGCAUAGAAACAUAGAA
rnacentral:lncRNA from 1 species